CAGGCUGAGCAAGCCGGUAAGCAGCACCCCCGUGGCCUCUGCAUCAGCUCCUGUCUCCAGGUUCCAGCACUGCUUGAGCUCCUGUCCUGACUGUCUUCAGUGAUGGGCUACAAUGUGGAAGUGUAAACCACAUAAACCCUUUCCUCCCCAGCUUGCUUUUGGUCACGGUGUUUCAUCGCAGUAAUAAUAACCCUAACCAGGACAAGGGGUGUGGGGCCCCUGUCUGAAGAAACUGGGUGGUGGCCGUGUCCAGAGGAGUUCGAUGGAGAACAGCUCUCUUCGCUCCUGGAACACAAGAACCAUUCAGGCAUUUGCUGGUCGAAUGAAUACGGCAAGGAAAGAGAAAGAUGGAGUGGAAGAAAAGGAAGUGUACAGGAAGACAGAUUAGUUAUUUCCUUAUUUCUCCUGCUAAAGACAACUAAAUUCACUGUGCAGGAAAUACAAAACAAUCAUAGGAAAAUAUGGAUGGCGGUGUAAAGAAGAGAGAUCCAGAAGAGAUGCUGGAGCCCAAGGGCACUAUGGGCUGAAUUUCCUGGGUUUUCUUUCUGUCUGUGUGUUUCAUUCAGAGUUGGAACUAAAGAAGGUAGGAACCCAGAAACUCCGGUCUGCACAGGCAAAAAGAGCUGCCUUCUCUAGUCAAAGAUCCAGGAAAGGGGAUGCAUUCAAGUCAGAAAGCUUUUUUUUAUUUUAUUUUUGAGACAAGGUCUCACCUUGAAGCACUGGCUGUCCUGGAACUCAGUAUGCAGACCAGUCUGUCCUUGAACUCACAGAGAUCUGCCCGCCUCUGUCUCUUGAGUGCUGGGAUUAAAGGCAUGUGUCACCAUGUCCAGCACUGCCGUGAGCUUGUAGAUGAAGACUGCUCCAUUCGAGACAAGCUCCACAGAAAAGCAAGCCCCUCAGUGUCAGUGAAGACUAGAGGAGGCCACAUCCACCCUGUGAGGCCACCAGAAGCUGCCCAGUGUCUGUGCUGCAGAGUGCCAAAGGAGACAGACCAUGUAGAAAGCUUCUCUGUCUGGCAGAGAUGUUAAAAUGUCCAACAAAAAAUGCCUCGACUAGUGAAAUAAAAAUCCCAGAAAAUAAAUGUAAAAUACAAAGAUGAACCAAGAGGAAGUUUCAGAACUGAAAUAAAAGAAAUGAUGCAAAGGAAAAGUUGAGUGGGUGAGCUCACCUUCAGGGUGAAGGGGACGGAGGCAGAAGCUAUGAACUGAAGAGAGUGGAGAUGACAGAGAAAGUGGACAGGGGCUGGGAAAACAGCUGCAGGAAACAUAAGAUCUGAUGAUCGCAUCCCUGGAGCUCCAAAGGAGACAGGAAGAGGCUGGAGCAACCAGGAGCAAAGCUACACUAAGAAAUAGACACAAGUGCUCUCUUCAGUAGCACAUGUACUAAAACUGCAAUGAUGCAGAGAUUAACAUGGCCCCUGUGCAGAGAUGACAUGCAAAUUCAUGUGGCAUUCCAUAUUUUUAAGGAAAAAAGAAAUAGACACAGGAUACUAUGGAAAGAUCA